rnacentral:piRNA from 1 species
GUCAAUUCAAAACAGACUGUAUUUCACC